rnacentral:lncRNA from 1 species
GGGGUCAAUGGCCGCCCUUUCCAGUUAACUAGGUGGACCCCAGUUAAGCGUCUGUCUCGGUUAGCGUCACUUCAGCUGCAACCGGUCCGCGGUAGACGCUGGUUUUUUCUCCUGGUCCGAGUAGGCCCAGUUCCGCCUUUCCGGCCGCUAGACAGUCUCGGAGGCCCUUCCCAUUUACUUUGGGAGCCCCGACGGCGAGCGGCGGCGGCAGCCACCAAGGUUCGGCUUCAGCAUCGACUGCUGACGCCACUACUCGUUCAAGCACCAUGCUGUUUACUUCAGUGUCAGAUGCUUCUACCUCCACUGUUGCUUCUGGGUUCUCAUGUAAGUUACUGGUUGCAGAGAAAAGCCUGGUAUUUCGCAUCAGGCAACUUCGCUUAAUUUGCCAAUAUAAGCUAUGGAUCUCUUGCAUCUCAUAAAUUAUCAUUAUGCUUGAACCCAUCUGUAACUGCUGAUAUCAAUAGUAGCUUUGCUUAAGAACCCAAUUGUCAUGGCUUUAGCUGUGAAUUUUAUGUUAACAUGAUUAUUCCAGCUUAAAGUGAUAAUUUUAAGCAUAUAAUUCAUUAACAUUGUAAUGUUUUGAAACAACUUCUUGAAGCUAAUGGGAAUAGUAAGAUGGGAGUUUUGCCAAGUAUGUCUGAAAGAGAAGAAGUCUUAUUAUCCAUGUGAAUAAGAUAAAAUGGGAAAUGAAUGUUGGAGCUUUGCUAUAAUGUAUUCUUGCAGAUAGACCAGUUUUGUGGUCCUUAUACUUUACCUAUCAGAAGUGAUGGAUGACAAAAGGACCAGUUUGGGGUUUUAAUUGACACCGUGUGAUGUCUUGUGGCUUCUCUCCUUGAAGAGGAACAUCUGGAUGUGUAGAGCUGAGAAGUGGGAUAUUAAUUAUCUUGUAACCCCAACUUCUCUGCUAUGUAUCUUC